ensembl:lncRNA
AGAAGAAGUACAAGUUGUGGAUGAUGCGAUUGCGAAUGAGGGCCUACAACAAGAUGUGGAUGAGGUCCCUGUUGGCCCAAAGAGAAAGAAGACACUCAAACAUUCCCCGAGGAAAUUAUUGUCACCAACAGGAAUGUUGGAGUUGGCCAAACUAAAAGAACAGACCAAGAUGGAUCGACAGAAGAUUGAACACCUCGAGGACCGCAUUAAAUACCUGGAAGAGGUCAACAGUGAGCUAAAAAACGACAAGGAAUUCCUGCUUUCACAAAUGAAGGGAGCCCCCAGUGCACCUGCAUCUACUGGAAAGUCAGGUUUCAGAAAGACUGCUCACAUUCCUUCUUCAUCUUCACCUUCAAUGUCUCCAUCCCCCUCCUCUUCAUCCUCAGACUUCAGCUCCUCAUCAUCCUCAGAAGAGGAGCAGCAGAAGAAGAAAAAGAAAAAGUCAAAAAAAAUACACUGACUCACACAGCCGUUCAAGAAUGACCACAACGGAUGGAAUCAUCCGCCGCUACAAGAAUGCCCUUAAGAGAUUCACCAAGUUUGGAUCCAUGAAAAAGGCCUUCGCCAAGAUUAAUGUUGACCGCAACACAAUUGCAAGAACAGCUAUAAUUGCUGAGCUAGCAAUCACAUAUCCUGAUACAUUUCAGGAGCUGCUCCCUACAGAUGAAGUCAGUGAGAAGAUCUCAGAGUUUGCAGAGCGCUGCAAGAGGGCUAUGUCAAAAGAGAUGGCUGAAACGAUCACAGCAAAGAAAAAACGUGGGCAACUCCUCCCAAUAAUGUACAAGUACACCUAAUUUUUUUUCUUCUCCUAAACAAG